AAAGAAUUCAAAAUAAAAAUCGUAAACAUGCUGACAGAGAUGCAGAGAAAUAGGCAAGAGAAAUGGGAUGAAAUGCAGAGAAAAAUGCAAGAGCAAUGGGAUGAAGUCCAGAG